AUAAAGUAUGUGUGCAUGCAUGCA
rnacentral:siRNA from 1 species